rnacentral:tRNA from 1 species
GCAGAUGUAGCCCAGUUGGUAGGGCGCUUGCCUAGCACACACAGGCCCUGGGUUUGAAACCCAGCGCUGCA